rnacentral:rRNA from 1 species
UACGUAGGUUGCGAGCGUUAUCCGGAUUUACUGGGCGUAAAGCGCACCGAGGUGGCUUCUUAAGUCGGAUGUAAAAUCUCCUGGCUCAACUGGGAGGCGCCAUUCGAAACUGGGAAGCUUGAGUCCAGCAGGGGAAAGUGGAAUUCCCGGUGUAGUGGUGGAAUGCGUAGAGAUCGGGAGGAACACCAGUGGCGAAAGCGGCUUUCUGGGCUGCGACUGACACUCUAGUGCGAAAGCGUGGGGAGCAAACAGG